UACGUAGGGUGCGAGCGUUAAUCGGAAUUACUGGGCGUAAAGCGUGCGCAGGCGGUUCGUUGUGUCGGCGGUGAAAGCCCCGGGCUUAACCUGGGAAUGGCCGUUGAAACUGGCGAACUGGAGUGUGGCAGAGGGGGGUGGAAUUCCGGGUGUAGCGGUGGAAUGCGUAGAGAUCCGGAAGAACACCGGUGGCGAAGGCGGCCUGCUGGGCAGUGGCUGACGCUGAGGCGCGACAGCGUGGGGAGCAAACAGG
rnacentral:rRNA from 1 species